rnacentral:rRNA from 1 species
CCUACGGGAGGCAGCAGUAGGGAAUCUUCCGCAAUGGACGAAAGUCUGACGGAGCAACGCCGCGUGAGUGAUGAAGGUAAUGCGAUCGUAAUUCUCUGUUGUUAGGGAAGAACAAGUACAAGAGUAACUGCUUGUACCUUGACGGUACCUAACCAGAAAGCCACGGCUAACUACGUGCCAGCAGCCGCGGUAAU